GCGGGUGUGGCGGAAUUGGCAGACGCACAGAUUUAGGAUCUGGCGCGCCGAGCGGUGGGGUUCCAGUCCCUUCACCCGCACUA
rnacentral:tRNA from 1 species